ACGAACGCUGGCGGCGUGCCUAAUACAUGCAAGUUGAGCGCUGAAGGUUGGUACUUGUACCAACUGGAUGAGCAGCGAACGGGUGAGUAACGCGUGGGGAAUCUGCCUUUGAGCGGGGGACAACAUUUGGAAACGAAUGCUAAUACCGCAUAAAAACUUUAAACACAAGUUUUAAGUUUGAAAGAUGCAAUUGCAUCACUCAAAGAUGAUCCCGCGUUGUAUUAGCUAGUUGGUGAGGUAAAGGCUCACCAAGGCGAUGAUACAUAGCCGACCUGAGAGGGUGAUCGGCCACAUUGGGACUGAGACACGGCCCAAACUCCUACGGGAGGCAGCAGUAGGGAAUCUUCGGCAAUGGACGAAAGUCUGACCGAGCAACGCCGCGUGAGUGAAGAAGGUUGUCGGAUCGUAAAACUCGGUUGGUAGAGAAGAACGUUGGUGAGAGUGGAAAGCUCAUCAAGUGACGGUAACUACCCAGAAAGGGACGGCUAACUACGUG
rnacentral:rRNA from 1 species